UGGAAUUCAGAAGAGAAAAGAAAAAGAGAGUUUAUGACCCUUGGAAGAAGGGGCAGGUCACUCAGGAGGAUUAC